rnacentral:rRNA from 1 species
UAACACAUGCAAGUCGAGGGGCAGCAUGGUCUUAGCUUGCUAAGGCCGAUGGCGACCGGCGCACGGGUGAGUAACACGUAUCCAACCUGCCGUCUACUCUUGGACAGCCUUCUGAAAGGAAGAUUAAUACAAGAUGGCAUCAUGAGUCCGCAUGUUCACAUGAUUAAAGGUAUUCCGGUAGACGAUGGGGAUGCGUUCCAUUAGAUAGUAGGCGGGGUAACGGCCCACCUAGUCUUCGAUGGAUAGGGGUUCUGAGAGGAAGGUCCCCCACAUUGGAACUGAGACACGGUCCAAACUCCUACGGGAGGCAGCAGUGAGGAAUAUUGGUCAAUGGGCGCAGGCCUGAACCCAGCAAGUAGCGUGAAGGAUGACUGCCCUAUUGGGUGUAAACUUCUUUUAUAAAGGAAUAAAGUCGGGUAUGUAUUCCCCGUUUGCAAGUACUUUAUGAAUAAGAUUCGGCUAACUCCGUGCCAGCAGCCGCGGUAAUACGGAGGAUCCGAGCGUUAUCCGGAUUUAUUGGGUUAAAGGGAGCGUAGAUGGAUGUUUAAGUCAGUUGUGAAAGUUUGCGGCUCAACNGUAAAAUUGCAGUUGAUACUGGAUAUCUUGAGUGCAGUUGAGGCAGGCGGAAUUCGUGGUGUAGCGGUGAAAUGCUUAGAUAUCACGAAGAACUCCGAUUGCGAAGGCAGCCUGCUAAGCUGCAACUGACAUUGAGGCUCGAAAGUGUGGGUAUCAAACAGGAUUAGAUACCCUGGUAGUCCACACGGUAAACGAUGAAUACUCGCUGUUUGCGAUAUACGGCAAGCGGCCAAGCGAAAGCGUUAAGCAUUCCACCUGGGGAGUACGCCGGCAACGGUGAAACUCAAAGGAAUUGACGGGGGCCCGCACAAGCGGAGGAACAUGUGGUUUAAUUCGAUGAUACGCGAGGAACCUUACCCGGGCUUAAAUUGCAGAUGAAUUACGGUGAAAGCCGUAAGCCGCAAGGCAUCUGUGAAGGUGCUGCAUGGUUGUCGUCAGCUCGUGCCGUGAGGUGUCGGCUUAAGUGCCAUAACGAGCGCAACCCUUGUUGUCAGUUACUAACAGGUUCCGCUGAGGACUCUGACAAGACUGCCAUCGUAAGAUGUGAGGAAGGUGGGGAUGACGUCAAAUCAGCACGGCCCUUACGUCCGGGGCUACACACGUGUUACAAUGGGGGGUACAGAGGGCCGCUACCACGCGAGUGGAUGCCAAUCCCAAAAACCUCUCUCAGUUCGGACUGGAGUCUGCAACCCGACUCCACGAAGCUGGAUUCGCUAGUAAUCGCGCAUCAGCCACGGCGCGGUGAAUACGUUCCCGGGCCUUGUACACACCGCCCGUCAAGCCAUGGGAGCCGGGGGUACCUGAAGUGCGUAACCGCGAGGAGCGCCCUAGGGUAAAACUGGUGACUGGGGCUAAG